rnacentral:lncRNA from 1 species
UCUCUCUCUCUGUUCUCUUCUUUUUCUGCUCUCUCCAGCUUAUUCCCUGAUGGGGGCUCACGAGAAGCGGCGUCGUUUCGAGCCAAUAUCAAGUUACGAGAUUAAGGACCGGUCGAACCAAACCGUUGCCGCUGAUCUUGACGGGACCUUACUAAUCUCUCGUAGUGCAUUUCCUUAUUAUUUCCUCGUGGCCCUCGAAGCAGGGAGCUUACUCCGAGCCUUGAUCUUACUCGCAUCCGUACCGUUUGUUUACCUCACGUACCUCUCCAUUUCGGAGACUCUAGCCAUCAACGUUUUCAUCUUUAUCACCUUCGCGGGUCUCAAGAUCCGAGACGUCGAGCUCGUGGUCCGUUCCGUACUUCCAAGGUUCUACGCCGAGGAUGUGAGGCCAGACUCGUGGAGUAUCUUCAACACGUUCGGGAAACGUUACAUAGUAACAGCGAGUCCACGGAUCAUGGUCGAACCGUUCGUGAAGACAUUCCUAGGUGUCGAUAAAGUUCUUGGAACAGAACUCGAGGUUUCCAAAUCCGGUCGGGCAACCGGUUUUGUCAGAAGACCCGGUGUUCUUGUCGGUCAACACAAACGCGAUGCCGUUUUGAGAGAGUUCGGUGGCGUUGCGUCUAGUUUACCUGAUUUGGGGCUUGGCGAUAGUAAGACAGACCACGAUUUCAUGACAAUUUGCAAGGUUAUUCACGCCAUCCUCUCUACUUUUUCUGUAUGAUAUGUCAUUUUCAUUUAUUUUUAUUACUAUCUAACUCAUUAAAUACUAUAUUCACGACAUUAUGAGUAUCAUAUGUCGUUGGACGUACGUGCAACUUUUUUGGUGUAGUAGUUAUUGUGUUGUCCUGUGAUGUUUAUUGCUUACUAUUCUUCCUAAUGAUUUUUGGCCAAUCAUAUCAUCUAUAUUUUAAAUGUGUAGUAGCACUUGGUGGAGAUAAAAUUAGAUAAAUAACCGUAAACAAGUUAUUUGUCAACAAAUAUAUGUUAUUUUUCUAGAUAACAUGUUCUUUUACGCUGACUAAUAAUAAUAUGUGAAUGAUUAGCGGGAUAGUAAAAGCUAUCUAUUAGGAUCAAUCUAUAUCUUAAGUUUUUAUUUAUAAUUUUAUAUUAAAAUUUUAAAGGUGGUGUAAGAAAUAAAUAAAAAAUGAUUACAGGAUUCCGGUUCACUAUACAAUCUUCUAUUUUGUAAGCUGUAAGAAAAAAAUAUGGUUAAAACUUUUUUUUUGUUUUUGAUGAAAUUUUUACUUUUAUAGCGGAGAUAUGUGCAACAAUAACUUCUACAUACUAAAUCCUAGUUGCAUCCUAGCAAAUUAUCUUUUUGUCAUGCUAAAUUACAUGAUAUUUCAUAAAGAGAAGUAUCAUCACCAAUUAAAUGUUUUUGGAAAAUAAAAAGGUUUUUCUUUGUUGCAAAUAAAAAGGCUGUAGUCAUUACUUAUUAACUUUCUUAAAAAAAACAAUUUUUUUUUGUUUGAAACCUUUCAAGUGAAUUUGGAAACUGUGAUAAAAAUAAUAACUUGGGUUCUUCAUAUACUAACCAUCGUUUUUUGUUUUGUUUUUAAUUGUCUUCAUGUAAAAGCCUGAUAAUGUUUUGUUUUGUUAUUCUUGACUCUCCUUUCAUUUUGUAAACUGCUAAUCAAUUAUCCUAAUUAGUUAUAUAAAUUAAUACUAAAUAAUUACAUAAAUUACGUACCAUGUAAUCUGGAUACAUGUUUUCUAGCCACUAAUAAAUUUGAUAGUACGCAUGUCUCUCUCGUGACUACUUCGGUGUCGCAUCUCCAUCUCCUAUAUGAUAGGAAAAAAAUGAAAAGUGCAUGCUACUAAUUACUAGACAAUUACGUACAAACCACAACUACUUUUGUGCUUCAAUUAAUAUAACAAAAUUUGUGAUUACUGACUGCAGGAGGGUUACAUGGUGCCACGUACAAAAUGCGAACCAUUACCAAGAAACAAACUCUUAAGCACUAUAAUAUUCCACGAGGGCAGAUUAGUCCAACGUCCAACGCCAUUUGUUGCUCUGUUAACUCUCCUUUGGCUUCCCAUCGGUUUUCUAGUCUCUCUUAUCCGUGUCUACACGAAUAUUCCACUACCCGAGCGCAUUGCACGUUAUAACUACAAGCUCACAGGGAUCAAACUAGUCGUCAACGGCCACCCUCCUCCGCCGCCUAAGCCUGGCCAACCAGGCCACCUAUUGGUAUGCAACCACCGGACUGUACUCGACCCUGUGGUGACAGCUGUCGUGCUCGGUCGGAAAAUCAGCUGCGUAACCUACAGUAUCAGUAAAUUCUCUGAGUUAAUCUCUCCAAUCAAAACCGUUGCGUUGACUCGUCAGCGCGAUAAAGACGCAGCUAACAUCAAGCGUCUCUUGGAGGAAGGCGAUCUUGUGAUAUGUCCCGAGGGAACCACGUGCCGUGAGCCUUUCCUGCUUCGGUUUAGCGCCAUGUUCGCCGAGCUCACGGACCGGAUCGUCCCUGUGGCUAUCAACACCAAACAAAGCAUGUUUAAUGGUACAACCACACGUGGCUACAAGCUUCUUGAUCCUUACUUCGCGUUUAUGAAUCCCAUUCCCACGUUCGAGAUCACUUUCCUUAAGCAGCUGCCGGCUGAGCUGACAUGUAAAGGAGGCAAGUCGCCGAUAGAGGUGGCGAAUUACAUACAGAGGGUUUUGGCAGGAACCUUAGGGUUUGAGUGCACAAAUUUCACAAGAAAGGAUAAGUACGCAAUGCUAGCUGGCACUGACGGUAGGGUUCCAAUGAAGAAGGAGAAGAUAUAAUUAUUGAUUGGAUAAAAGAGAAGAUGAAGAAAUAAUACAAACAUUUGAAUAUUUUUCUUUUGGCUGGUUAGCUAUUACUACUUAAUUAAAAGGGAAAAGGAUAAAGUUUGUUUCUUUUGUCUUCUAUGAUUCCAAGAUAUUUUCUUCGCAUGUUUUUCUUUGUAAUAUUUCCAAGUUUUACUUUAGUACAAUAAGGGUUUAAAAAAAAACAGUGCUUGGUCCAUUUGCUUGGUCAGUUGGUUGUAUACUUGUAUAUAAUAUUUGUUAAUAGUGUGAACAUUAUUUUGUUAUAAAAGUUACAGCGUACACAGGUUUUCUAACUAUGACAGUAUGUGACAUUUCGUAUAUGAAUGUAGUAUAGCAAAAGUCAUAACCGCUAAAGAUCCAAUGUACUGUCGUCAUAACCACUGAAGAUCAAAUGUACCUUUGGAUGUCAUAUCAUAAGUCAUAACAAGUAACGUUAAAAUUAAAUCUACUUUUAUUUUUAUAUAUAUAGUAUUAGUAACUAAGACCACCGUGGGUUCUUAAGAGGUGUGGUCCACAAUUUUGUUAAAAACCAGUUCCUCUUUUUCUGCAAGAGGCGAUUUUUUUACUGUUCGCGGACCCCACUGACACGUGGCGAUCCGCAAUUGAUUCAUUUUUAAAUUUUUUUUUAAUCAGACAAAAAAAAUAAAAAUAAAUAAGAACCCUUAGCUUUAAUUAUGCUCUAAUGUAUCCUAUCAUUAUCAUAUGUCCGGAAUAUACAUCAAUGCAUUGAAUUCACAAAUUAACUACUCAUAUUAAAGCGACCAAAAUAAUUCAUCUGUUUCACAAAAGAAGAUUUGUAUUGACUUUUGACAGAUAAGAAAGUUGCUGCACCACAUGGAAAAACACCAUGAAAAGUCUUGUUAAAGCACUCUAAUGGGGGUUUCUCAACAUGAAAUUCUAAAGUUACAUAUAUAUUUAUGUAUAUAUAAAUAUUAAUAUUUAAUUAUGAGUAUCUAUAAAAUUUAUAUGUACAUACAUCUAUAUGUAUUUUUAGAAACUUAUGUUGAGAAACCCCAGUGAGGUUCCUCUUACACCUUUGAAUGUGAUUCUCGAUUUUUAGUUUACUUUGAAGUUAAAUCAAGAACAUGCUACAGGAUAUAUAUAUAUAUAUAUAGAUGGAGUUUGGCAGUUGUAGUGUUCUAUGGUGGACCAGUUAUGACUUAUGACUAUAACUCUUUUGUCUAUGAGAUCUUUGGCUGGUGACAUAUAAUUGUGGUAACUAUGAAAAACCCAGACCGGGUAGAAAUCUAAGGAUUCAAGAUCAUGAUCAUAAUUGUUUUAGCAAGCCCGUGUUUAGAAAUGUGGUUUAUGUUUUGACUCUAAUAGAAACUCUUAUGCCAGAUCACAAAACCGGAACUAAUGUUUUACACCAGUUUGCUUUCAAAUUUAGCGUCAAAACGUAUUUGUGAAUCUUCUUUCAAGUUUUGUUUAGAUGUGUAGAUUUAUCAAGAUCACUUUAACAUUUUUUUUUAUCAUUGCUAACUUUUGGAUAAAGAAAAGUAACAACAUACCCCAAUUUUAAUUACAGUUAUGUCCAUUCUCUAACUUUAGUUUCGGUUUCAUGUUAAGUUUAAAACCCAGUCUAAAUUGACAAACCUGUCGAUUGUUUUCAAUGAAUUUACGUUGCCAGUACUCUAGCACAUAUCAUUUACUUGACUGAUAUCUACCAAGUAGUAAUCUAUUUAGUCUACCAAGAAAACGCAUAUCAAUUUAAAUGACCAAUCUAGUUAGGUGCAGAUCACUAGCUAGUUCGAUAUUUGCUUAUAUCAAGUUGUAUGUAUGUGCAAGUACAUCUAGUUAAUCACGGGUUUCAUAUCCAAUAUACUAGCAGCAUAUUCUACUCUCAAGUCGCUAUAUCUAUAAAUGGAAUAAUGAAUAGAUAAUAAAAAACUAUGACCAUUCUUGGGUCUACUAUUGUCAUAUGAUUAUGACUCGACCAUUAAUUUCCAUCACGAGGGUAUCUACUUAGGCACCCUCUUAAAUAUUUGAACAACCGUUGGGCGUCGAUAACAACCUCUCCUUUCUGCGAAUAUUUACUCCCCAAAUUUAUACUGUAUUUAUUUGGAAGUUUUCAAUCCAAUUGGUUUCAACAAGUUUUCGAUCUUGACUUUGAUUUAUUAUCUUUUGAUUUUAUGGAACAAUUUCUGAUUCGCGGAUGUAGUAGAUAAUUAAACGUUAUAAGAAAUAAAAUUUGUUAUUAAGGACGCCGAAUUGAUUUAAUGGUUAACUAGAUUAAUUAGUAAUUUAGUAUAUAUUUUGGAAGUCACAUAUUUAAAUCGCAAAAGGAGAAAUCUGUUUUUUGAAACGAUAUUACAUGAUUUAGAUUUUAUUAUAGAGCAAGUAUGGGCUGAGAGAUCUACAAUUUUUUAAUCACGAAAAAGAAGUAAGAUCAGUAGUGAUUUCACAUGCCGUUAAAUUAAAAUGUUCAACCCUAUAUGUGGAUGAUUUAUCUCUUAGACUCUUUUAAUAAUAGUUGAGACUUGAGAUCCAUUUUUUCAUCUCGAUCUCAGUCACCAAAGAUUCCAUGACAUAAAGGAGUUUGGUUUCCUGAAGCUACUCCUAAGUACUAGUUCAUUACAUGCAUGGUUUGCAAUGCAUAACAGAUUGUCAACCGGAGACCGGAUCCUCAGGUGGAACUCUCAAGCUGUUUUUACUUGUUGGCUAUGUAACUCGGCUGUAGAAACUAAAGACUAUUUGUUCUUUGAAUGUUUCCAGGAAUCAUAAAAGACUUGGACGGUCCAGGCUGUCCGAAUCAAUGGACUCCUCUGUAGGACCGUACCUCACUUUUUCUAAGUUAGAAGCAUAAAUUUUUUUUUGAUCCUUUAGUCUGUUUUAAUGUAAAACUUUUAACCUAAAAUAAGUGAUAAAGACAAUCCAUUCUCAACUUCUAAAUCACCCUUUACUCUCUCUCUCUCUCUGUUCUCUUCUUUUUCUGCUCUCUCCAGCUUAUUCCCUGAUGGGGGCUCACGAGAAGCGGCGUCGUUUCGAGCCAAUAUCAAGUUACGAGAUUAAGGACCGGUCGAACCAAACCGUUGCCGCUGAUCUUGACGGGACCUUACUAAUCUCUCGUAGUGCAUUUCCUUAUUAUUUUCUCGUGGCCCUCGAAGCAGGGAGCUUACUCCGAGCCUUGAUCUUACUCGCAUCCGUACCGUUUGUUUACCUCAUGUACCUCUCAAUUUCCGAGACUCUAGCCAUCAACGUUUUCAUCUUUAUCACCUUCGCGGGUCUCAAGAUCCGAGACGUCGAGCUCGUGGUCCGUUCCGUACUUCCAAGGUUCUACGCCGAGGAUGUGAGGCCAGACUCGUGGAGUAUCUUCAACACGUUCGGGAAACGUUACAUAGUAACAGCGAGUCCACGGAUCAU